GUUUAGAUGCCAAGUGAAGUAACAUGAGCUUGCGGAGCCAGAAGACAGAAGCACAGAAUGUGGGAGACCAGGAUCCUGGGAAGCAGACUAAAACAGGCAGACCAGCCUGUGAACAGUGGCCCAGGGGCUGCACAUCCCAAGGGACCACAGAUAGUCAGUCUUCAAGCAUGAAGGGUUUCAGCUCAGAUUCUUCAUGUGUGUCCUGACUGUGGCCAAACCCAAGGAGGUGACAAGGGAUGGAGAUAGUAUGUAGGGUUCACAGGGAGGUUCACCAGAAGGAAGAAUUAGGCAACACCAAAGGAUUCAGGGCUUCUCCACCAGUACAGUUAGCCUCAGGAAAACAGCUGGGCUGCAAGCACCUCCACACCUGCUCUGCAAGGCGUCCAUGGCCUUCUCCAGGGCCCUCUGAGAGCAGCUCUCCCUACAUACUUUGCUCAGCCUCUGUCUUCGUUCCUGUAAGUGGACUAUAGCUCUCAAUUUCCAUCUCCUGUCCUCUUGCAAGUCAACCUCCAGGGAAGCCCAGCAUCGGUGUCUUUCACAUUGCUGUUCCUCCCCAUAAAUCAGGUCUGACACUUUCUCAUUUUUUUAAUAUUUAAAUAUUUUUUAAGCUGUGAUUGGACACAACACCUUUUUUUUAUUGAUUGAUUUUUAUGUGGUGCUGAGGAUGGAACCCAGCGCCUCGCACAUGCUAGGCGAGCGCUCUACUGCUGAGCCACCACCCCAGCCCCUACUUUCUCAUUUUUUAUUAGAGCUGUUACCAUUCUUCUAAUGAUUCUUGUUAUUUUUAGAAAUUUCUUUGAGUGAGCACUGCAGUUUGCAUUUUAUUUGGAAGCCCCAACUAAGGUUUUUCUCUCCUACACUUGGCAUUGUAGACUUCUGUCUCUAGAACAAGAGGUGCUUUUUGCUAAAGGAGUUGGGGAAUUAUCAACUAGGUGGGGAGGCAUUUGAGGCCAGGGAGGGAGAGACGUUACACAUUUUAAGCCCAGAGAUGUACAUGCCUGGCACAGCCAGUCCUGAGCAGCAUCUGUAUCAGUCCAGUGGGGUCUGGUCCAACUGACUCCAGAUAUAGUCUCCAGAUUUGCCCACUCUGGUCUGGACUGAGCAUGGGGAAGAAUAUGUGCAACCAAAGCUGUGAGCCAGAGCUUUGGGAAAGCUAGGAGAUGGGUAAGGGGAGGAAUGACUAUAUAUCACUCACUAUUUCAUUUUUUUGCAAAAGUACGAUACAACUGAAAAUAAAAUAUCUCUCUUAUUGCUUUCAGAGGUAGACUAGUCUCAUUCUCCUGCCUGCAGAGAUUGUCCUUCUAGGUGCAUAAUACAGAU
rnacentral:lncRNA from 1 species